rnacentral:rRNA from 1 species
GACGAACGCUGGCGGCGUGCCUAAUACAUGCAAGUCGAACGCUUCUUUCCUCCCGAGUGCUUGCACUCGAUUGGAAAGAGGAGUGGCGGACGGGUGAGUAACACGUCGGUAACCUACCCAUAAGAGAGGGAUAACACGUGGAAACAGGUGAUAAUACCGCAUAACAGUUUAUGCCGCAUGGCAUAAGAGUGGAAGGCGCUUUCGGGGGUCGCUGAUGGAUGGACCCGGGGUGCAUUGGCUAGUUGGUGAGGUAACGGGUCACCAAGUGCACGAUUCAUAGACGAACGGAGAGGGUGGUCGGCCACACUGGGAGGGAGACACGGACCAGACUCCUGAGGGAGGCAGCAGUAGGGAAUCUUCGGCAAUGGUCGAAAGUCUGACCGAGCAACGCGGCGUGAGUGAAGACGGUGUUCGGAUCGUAAAACUCUGUUGUUAGAGAAGAACCAGGACGGUAGUAACUGAACGUCGACUGACGGUAUCUAAUCAGAAAGCCACGGCUAACUACGUG